rnacentral:rRNA from 1 species
GAUGAACGCUAGCUACAGGCUUAACACAUGCAAGUCGAGGGGAAACGAUAGAGAAAGCUUGCUUUUUCUAGGCGUCGACCGGCGCACGGGUGAGUAACGCGUAUCCAACCUGCCCAUCACUUGGGGAUAACCUUGCGAAAGUAAGACUAAUACCCAAUGACGUCUCUAGAAGACAUCUGAAGGAGAUUAAAGAUUUAUCGGUGAUGGAUGGGGAUGCGUCUGAUUAGCUUGUUGGCGGGGUAACGGCCCACCAAGGCGACGAUCAGUAGGGGUUCUGAGAGGAAGGUCCCCCACAUUGGAACUGAGACACGGUCCAAACUCCUACGGGAGGCAGCAGUGAGGAAUAUUGGUCAAUGGACGAGAGUCUGAACCAGCCAAGUAGCGUGAAGGAUGACUGCCCUAUGGGUUGUAAACUUCUUUUAUACGGGAAUAAAGUGAGGCAUGUGUGCCUUUUGUAUGUACCGUAUGAAUAAGGAUCGGCUAACUCCGUGCCAGCAGCCGCG